rnacentral:rRNA from 1 species
AUUGAACGCUGGCGGCAGGCCUAACGCACGCAAGUCGAGCGGAUGAAGGGAGCUUGCUCCUGGAUUCAGCGGCGGACGGGUGAGUAAUGCCUAGGAAUCUGCCUGGUAGUGGGGGAUAACGUCCGGAAACGGGCGCUAAUACCGCAUACGUCCUGAGGGAGAAAGUGGGGGAUCUUCGGACCUCACGCUAUCAGAUGAGCCUAGGUCGGAUUAGCUAGUUGGUGGGGUAAAGGCCUACCAAGGCGACGAUCCGUAACUGGUCUGAGAGGAUGAUCAGUCACACUGGAACUGAGACACGGUCCAGACUCCUACGGGAGGCAGCAGUGGGGAAUAUUGGACAAUGGGCGAAAGCCUGAUCCAGCCAUGCCGCGUGUGUGAAGAAGGUCUUCGGAUUGUAAAGCACUUUAAGUUGGGAGGAAGGGCAGUAAGUUAAUACCUUGCUGUUUUGACGUUACCAACAGAAUAAGCACCGGCUAACUUCGUG